rnacentral:rRNA from 1 species
GCAGCAGCCACGGGAAUACGGAGGGUGCAAGCGUUAUCCGGAUUUAUUGGGUUUAAAGGGUCCGUAGGCGGAUCUGUAAGUCAGUGGUGAAAUCUCACAGCUUAACUGUGAAACUGCCAUUGAUACUGCAGGUCUUGAGUAAAUUUGAAGUGGCUGGAAUAAGUAGUGUAGCGGUGAAAUGCAUAGAUAUUACUUAGAACACCAAUUGCGAAGGCAGGUCACUAAGAUUUAACUGACGCUGAUGGACGAAAGCGUGGGGAGCGAACAGGAUUAGAUACCCGCGUAGUCCCUGUCUCUUAUAC